rnacentral:rRNA from 1 species
UACGUAGGGGGCGAGCGUUGUCCGAAGUUACUGGGCGUAAAGCGCGCGUAGGCGGGCAAUUAAGUGAGAAGUGAAAGGCUGGGGCUCAACCUCAUGCAGUGCUUCUCAUACUGGUUUUCUUGAGGGCGGUAGAGAAAAGUGGAAUGGCUGGUGUAGCGGUGAAAUGCGCAGAUAUCAGGAGGAACACCAAUUGCGAAGGCAGCUCGCUGGAACGUAACUGACGCUGAGACGCGAAAGCGUGGGGAGCAAACAGG